UAAACGACUCUCGGCAACGGAUAUCUCGGCUCUCGCAUCGAUGAAGAACGUAGCGAAAUGCGAUACUUGGUGUGAAUUGCAGAAUCCCGUGAACCAUCGAGUCUUUGAACGCAAGUUGCGCCCGAAGCCUUCGGGCCGAGGGCACGUCUGCCUGGGCGUCACGC
rnacentral:rRNA from 9 species